CCAACUCACAAGAUACAACUUACAAUUUGUUGGUUGCUUCUUGUUGGUUGUAAGUUUGAGUGAUUCGCGAUAGCGAAGUACGAUCAAAGCCUUCGGGCGCUAGAGGAGGGGCCUGCGUCUGAUUAGCUAGUUGGUAGUGUAAUGGACUACCAAGGCGACGAUCAGUAGCUGGUUCGAGAGGAUGACCAGCCACACUGGGACUGAGAUACGGCCCAG
rnacentral:rRNA from 1 species